rnacentral:rRNA from 1 species
CCGAAAACCUAAGGUUUCCUGGGGAAGGUUCGUCCGCCCAGGGUUAGUCGGGACCUAAGCCGAGGCCGAAAGGCGUAGGUGAUGGACAAUCGGUUGAUAUUCCGAUACCGCCUAUUUACGUUUGAGAAAUGGGGUGACGCAGUAGGAUAAGAUGUGCGCACUAUUGGAUGUGCGUCUAAGCAUUUAGGCAUGCUUGAUAGGCAAAUCCGUCAAGCUAAGCUGAGAUGUGAUGGGGAGCCAUUUAUGGCGAAGUAUCUGAUUCCACACUGCCAAGAAAAGCCUCUAUCGAGUGAAUAGGUGCCCGUACCGCAAACCGACACAGG